rnacentral:rRNA from 1 species
UACAGAGGCCACAAGCGUUUAGGCGGAAUCACUGGGCUUAAAGCGUGUGUAGGCGGAUAUCUAAGUACCUUGUGAAAUCCCACAGCUCAACUGUGGAACUGCUUGGUAUACUGGAUGUCUUGAGGUAUUCAGGGGCGACCGGAACAAAUGGUGGAGCGGUGAAAUGCGUAGAUAUCAUUUGGAACGCCUGUGGUGAAGACGGGUCGCUGGGAAUAUUCUGACGCUGAGACACGAAAGCCAGGGGGAGCAAACGGGG